rnacentral:rRNA from 1 species
CCAAUAGCGUAUAUUAAAGUUGUUGCAGUUAAAAAGCUCGUAGUUGAAUUUCGGUAUCAAUAUGUUGGUCGUGCCAUUGGUACGUACUGGCAUUAUUGGUUUCUACCUUCUGAAGAACCUCGAUGUCAUUAAUUUGGUGUCUUGGGGAAUCAGGACUGUUACUUUGAAAAAAUUAGAGUGUUUAAAGCAGGCUCGCGCUUGAAUACAUUAGCAUGGAAUAAUGAAAUAGGACGUUUGAUUCUAUUUUGUUGGUUUCUAGGAUCGACGUAAUGAUUAAUAGGGAUAGUUGGGGGCAUUAGUAUUCAAUUGUCAGAGGUGAAAUUCUUGGAUUUAUUGAAGACUAACUACUGCGAAAGCAUUUGCCAAGGAUGUUUUCAUUAAUCAAGAACGAAAGUUAGGGGAUCGAAGACGAUCAGAUACCGUCGUAGUCUUAACCAUAAACUAUGCCGACUAGGGAUCGGAUGAUGUUAAUUUUUUAAUGACUCAUUCGGCGCCUUACG